CCUACGGGAGGCAGCAGUAGGGAAUCUUUCACAAUGGGCGAAAGCCUGAUGGAGCAACGCCGCGUGCAGGAUGAAGGCCUUCGGGUUGUAAACUGCUUUUAUAAGCGAGAAAUAUGAUGGUAACUUAUGAAUAAGGCACGGCUAACUACGUGCCAGCAGCCGCGGUCAUACGUAGGAUCCGAGCAUUAUCCGGAGUGACUGGGUGUAAAGAGUUGCGUAGGUGGCAUAAUAAGUAGCUAGUGGAAUCUGGUGGCUCAACCAUUCAGACUAUUAGCUAAACUGUUAAGCUCGAGACCGUUAGGGGUAACUGGAAUUUCUAGUGUAGGAGUGAAAUCCGUAGAUAUUAGAAGGAACACCAAUAGCGUAGGCAGGUUGCUGGGACGGUUCUGACACUAAGGCACGAAAGCGUAGGGAGCAAACGGGAUUAGAUACCCCAGUAGUC
rnacentral:rRNA from 1 species